rnacentral:rRNA from 1 species
CAGCAGCCGCGGUAAUACGUAGGUCCCGAGCGUUAUCCGGAUUUAUUGGGCGUAAAGCGAGCGCAGGCGGUUAGAUAAGUCUGAAGUUAAAGGCUGUGGCUUAACCAUAGUACGCUUUGGAAACUGUUUAACUUGAGUGCAGAAGGGGAGAGUGGAAUUCCAUGUGUAGCGGUGAAAUGCGUAGAUAUAUGGAGGAACACCGGUGGCGAAAGCGGCUCUCUGGUCUGUAACUGACGCUGAGGCUCGAAAGCGUGGGGAGCAAACAGGAUUAGAUACUCCCGUAGUCCCUGUCUCUUAUACA